UACGGAGGGGGCUAGCGUUGUUCGGAAUUACUGGGCGUAAAGCGCACGUAGGCGGCUUUGUAAGUUAGAGGUGAAAGCCCAGGGCUCAACCCUGGAAUUGCCUUUAAGACUGCAUCGCUAGAAUUGUGGAGAGGUAAGUGGAAUUCCGAGUGUAGAGGUGAAAUUCGUAGAUAUUCGGAAGAACACCAGUGGCGAAGGCGACUUACUGGACACAUAUUGACGCUGAGGUGCGAAAGCCAGGGGAGCAAACGGG
rnacentral:rRNA from 1 species